rnacentral:lncRNA from 7 species
GCCCAACUGCGCCCGCCAACCCUGCUGUGCAGCCGCCACCCCUGACCACCUACGAGUUCCGUUCGCGACGCUUACAUGUGGGCCCACACCGUCAGGAGUGUCUUCCUGGAGCCAUAACAAACUAGGGCACGAUUCUAUAAAAGUUUGGUCGACCUCGGGCGGACGGCCGUUGUGAAUCCCAUCCAAGCCCACCGGGUUGUUGUAACAACCGAAGCCUCCUCCGGUCAAUUCGACCCCAGGCCGAGCUCCUCGGCAACAAACUCCAGCACUAGCUAUAUAGUCUACCCCAUGAGAUAGGGAGGUGGAGUGCGCCGCCAUGGUCUGCCUCAAAUGAAGUUAGGAAUGGGUCGAUGAAGGGGCCUCAGGGCAUGUCCGGGGGCGUCGCAAAGCCAUGUGGAGAGUGGGCGAAGUGGUGGUUGUGCGUGGGAGCCCUCAGAUUAGGUUGAAUUCCUCACCGGAGUUACAUGUGCUCCAUGGUCGGCCGAGUCAUUGCCUCCAACAUCG